CCUGAACGCUGGCGGCGUGGCUAAGACAUGCAAGUCGCACGGGCGUAGCAAUACGUCAGUGGCGCACGGGUGAGUAAUGUAUCGCUAAUGUACCCCUGAGCCUGGGAUAGCUGCCCGAAAGGGCAGGUAAUACCAGAUGAAAUAACCAGAUCGCAUGAUCAGGUUCUCAAAGGAGUAAUCCACUCUAGGAGCAGGCGAUAUCGUAUCAGGAGUUGGUAGGGUAACGGCCUACCAAGCCGACGACGCGUAGCUGGUCUGAGAGGACGGCCAGCCACAUCGGGACUGAGACACUGCCCGGACUCCGUACGGGGGGCUGCAGUAACGAAUCUUCCGCAAUGCACGAAAGUGUGACGGAGCGACGCCGCGUGUAGGACGAAGCCC
rnacentral:rRNA from 1 species